UACAGAGGGUGCGAGCGUUGUUCGGAAUUACUGGGCGUAAAGCGCGCGUAGGUGGUCUUUUAAGUCCGACUGUGAAAUCCCGGGGCUCAACCCCGUGGGCUGCAGGGGAUACUGGGAGACUGGAGACACGUAGAGGCAAGCGGAAUUCCGGGUGUAGCGGUGGAAUGCGUAGAGAUCCGGAAGAACACCGGAGGCGAAGGCGGCUUGCUGGGCGUGAUCUGACGCUGAGGCGCGAAAGCGUGGGGAGCGAACAGG
rnacentral:rRNA from 1 species